rnacentral:rRNA from 1 species
UACAGAGGUCUCAAGCGUUGUUCGGAUUCAUUGGGCGUAAAGGGUGCGUAGGCGGCGCGGUAAGUCGGGUGUGAAAUCUCGGAGCUUAACUCCGAAACUGCAUUCGAUACUGCCGUGCUUGAGGACUGGAGAGGAGACUGGAAUUUACGGUGUAGCGGUGAAAUGCGUAGAUAUCGUAAGGAAGACCAGUGGCGAAGGCGGGUCUCUGGGCCCUACCUGACGCUGAGACGCGAAAGCGUGGGGAGCGAACCGG